rnacentral:rRNA from 3 species
AAUAUUCUAGCCUUAUCGGUGGAUCACUCGGCUCGUGGAUCGAUGAAGAACGCAGCCAACUGCGAUAAUUAGUGUGAACUGCAGAAACCUUGAACACAAAACUUUCGAAUGCACAUUGCGCCAUUGGAGUGACAUCCAUUGCACGCCUGGUUCAGGGUCGUAA